UACGAAGGGGCUAGCGUUGCUCGGAAUCACUGGGCGUAAAGCGCACGUAGGCGGAUUGCUAAGUCAGGGGUGAAAUCCUGGAGCUCAACUCCAGAACUGCCUUUGAUACUGGCAACCUUGAGUCCGGGAGAGGUGAGUGGAACUGCGAGUGUAGAGGUGAAAUUCGUAGAUAUUCGCAAGAACACCAGUGGCGAAGGCGGCUCACUGGCCCGGUACUGACGCUGACGGU
rnacentral:rRNA from 1 species